rnacentral:rRNA from 1 species
UACGAAGGGGGCUAGCGUUGCUCGGAAUGACUGGGCGUAAAGGGCGCGUAGGCGGAUGGCACAGUCAGAUGUGAAAUUCCCGGGCUUAACCUGGGGGCUGCAUUUGAUACGUGUUGUCUAGAGUGAGGAAGAGGGUUGUGGAAUUCCCAGUGUAGAGGUGAAAUUCGUAGAUAUUGGGAAGAACACCGGUGGCGAAGGCGGCAACCUGGUCCUUGACUGACGCUGAGGCGCGAAAGCGUGGGGAGCAA